rnacentral:misc_RNA from 1 species
UCCGGUUUAACACCGGCAGUCUCCCUAGAGUCCCCAACUUAAUGCUGGUAACUAAGGACAGGGGUUGCGCUCGUUGCCGGACUUAACCGAACAUCUUACGACACGAGCUGACGACAGCCAUGCAGCACCUAUCACCCAGUCCCCGAAGGGAAGACCCCAUCUCUGAGGCUGUCUGGGGAUGUUAAGCCCAGGUAAGGUUCUGCGCGUUGCUUCGAAUUAAACCACAUACUCCACCGCUUGUGCGGGCCCCCGUCAAUUCCUUUGAGUUUUAGCCUUGCGACCGUACUCCCCAGGCGGAUUACUUAAUGCGUUAGCUUUGGUACCCAGACGGUUAAACAUCCGGACACCUAGUAAUCAUCGUUUACGGCGUGGACUAC